rnacentral:rRNA from 1 species
UACGUAGGCAGCGAGCGUUGUUCGGAAUUACUGGGCGUAAAGAGUGUGUAGGCGGUGUUCCAAGUUCGGUGUGAAAUCUCCCGGCUUAACUGGGAGGGUGCGCCGAAAACUGGAAUGCUCGAGCGUGGGAGAGGAAAGCGGAAUUCCUGGUGUAGCGGUGAAAUGCGUAGAUAUCAGGAGGAACACCAGCGGUGUAGACGGCUUUCUGGACCAUUGCUGACGCUGAGACGCGAAAGCGUGGGGAGCGAACAGG